rnacentral:lncRNA from 1 species
GAUAACCUCUAGGGUGAAGUGCUCACCGAUAUCCAUGCGCUUGCGGAUCAUUUCUUGAUGGCGUUACCAAAUAUAAACAAGCAUUUCUGGCGCCGUUGUCAGGGAGAAAGACGGUUUGUUGAGAUAACUUUAAGUCUUGCUAUUAUCUUGUAUUAUACUUUUAUACUUUUAUUCUUUUAUCUUUUUAUUUUUUCCAUCUUUAUGGAUAACUCAAAUUCCACACCUAUUAUAGAAUUUUUUUGCACCUUAAGAGACUAGCCAUACACCAUGGGAGUCAACAAGUCCUUUCUUUGCCCCUAAUUAUGAUCUGUGUCCGGAGUUGAUUGCAAUAGGUCAAAACCAACCCUUUUCUAUAGCUGAGGUCCUAUCUUUUAAUCAAGAAGAUAAUGAACUUUUAGCUACACCUAGGGAAUCUGUUAAUCUUUCUAUAAAUUCUGAUUUAAACCUAGCCCUACAAGACCAUGUUUUUUCUCGAUAUUUUCACAUAGGUCUUAAUCAUAUAGCCUUUGGUAGAGUAUUUCUUUCUUUAUCUAUUAGUAAAGGAAGGUAUGUCUUCAUUCGUGGACAUCCUUCUUGCACUAGUCUUCAUAAAAAAUUCCUGGAGAUAGAGAAGGAAUCAUCUCCCAGACAAGGAAAGGAAGUUUCAAUAUCCGAUUUCCAAACAUUUGAAUCCCAUGAUUCGGCUAUCCAACCCAUCCUUGAGCUUAAUAAUUUAUACUAUGCUCUUUCUCUUGAACCUCCCAAUGAUCCUAUGAAUCUCUCUAGACAUCCCAUUUAUAAGAGUCACUAAGACCAUA